rnacentral:misc_RNA from 1 species
UCCGGUUUGACACCGGCAGUCUCGCUAGAGUCCCCGCCAUUACGCGCUGGCAACUAGCGACAGGGGUUGCGCUCGUUAGAGGACUUAACCCGACACUUCACAGCACGAGCUGACGACAGCCAUGCAGCACCUGUGUACGUUCCACCCUUGCGGGUGUCAUUCCUGUUUCCAAGAACUAAUCCGUACAUGUCAAACCCGGGUAAGGUUCUUCGCGUUGCAUCGAAUUAAGCAACAUGCUCCACCGCUUGUGUGAGCCCCCGUCAAUUCCUUUGAGUUUUAGCCUUGCGACCGUACUUCCCAGGCGGCGCACUUAGCGAUUUCUCUGCGACCGACACGGGGUCAAACCCGCACCGAUCAAGUGCGCAUCGUUUACAGCGUGGACUAC